UCCGUGUCGAGGUGUGUGAUGCUAAGCAUGUGAGCUUGUCUUGGGAGUGUUUUUGAUGCUUCUGGGGUGUGUGAGUGUGUGAACCGAUCAUGUAGUAGGCAAGCUGCGGAGGGACGCAGUGAGGUAGCUCAUCCCCGGCGAUGGUUGUCCGGGGCUAAAUGUGUGGACUGUCUGGUAGGUAAAUCCGCUGGGCGUGAAGGUUGAGGCAUGAUGGCGAGCCCACGAGUGUGGGUGAGUGAGUGAUCCUGUACUGUCAAGAAAAGCUUCGUGAGCGAGGUGGCGGGUCCGCCCGUACCCUAAACCGACACUGGUGGAUAGGUAGAGUAUACCGAGGCGAUCGAGUGAAUCGUGGUGAAGGAACUCGGCAAAAUGCCCCCGUAACUUCGGGAGAAGGGGGACCACUGCUGGUGACAGACUGGUUGAGCUGGUGGUGGUCGCAGAGAGUAGAGGGAAGCGACUGUUUACUAAAAACACAGGUCCGUGCGAAGACGUGAAGUCGAGGUAUACGGACUGACGCCUGCCCGGUGCUGGAAGGUUAAGAGGACCUGUUAGGCCACGGUUGUGGUCGAAGCGGAGAAUUUAAGCCCCAGUAAACGGCGGUGGUAACUAUAACCAUCCUAAGGUAGCGAAAUUCCUUGUCGGGUAAGUUCCGACCUGCACGAAUGGAGUAACGAUUUCCCUACUGUCUCCACCAUGAACUCGGUGAAAUUGCAUUACGAGUAAAGAUGCUCGUUACGCGCAGCAGGACGGAAAGACCCCGGGACCUUUACUAUAGUUUGGUAUUGGUGAUUGGGACGGUUUGUGUAGGAUAGGUGGGAGACGUUGAUGCGGCCACGCUAGUGGUGGUGGAGUCGUUGGUGAAAUACCACUCUGAUCGUAUUGAGCAUCUCAACCUCGGCCCAUGAUCUGGGUUAGGGACAGUGCCUGGUGGGUAGUUUAACUGGGGCGGUUGCCUCCUAAAUGGUAACGGAGGCGCCCAAAGGUUUCCUCAGCCUGGUUGGCAAUCAGGUGGUGAGUGUAAGUGCCGGCUCGUCGCAUCCUGGGGCUGGAGUAGGUCCCAAGGGUUGGGCUGUUCGCCCAUUAAAGCGGCACGCGAGCUGGGUUUAGAACGUCGUGAGACAGUUCGGUCUCUAUCCGCCGCGCGCGUGGAAACUUGAGAAAGGCUGUCCCUAGUACGAGAGGACCGGGACGGACGUACCUCUGGUGUGCCAGUUGUUCCGCCUGGGGCAGGGCUGGUUGGCUACGUACGGGAGGGAUAACCGCUGAAAGCAUCUAAGCGGGAAGCCUGUUUCAUGAUGAGGUUUCUUUUGAGGUUCCCCAGAGAUGAUGGGGUUGAUAGGCCGGAUCUGUAAGCAUUGUGAGGUGUUGAGGUGACCGGUACUAAUUGGCCGAACUAAACAACAAC
rnacentral:rRNA from 1 species